GUUAAUUUUUAUUACCUGUAGCUGAUUUUACACUGCGAAGCUUUUUGGGUGUCACAGACCAUACCCUGACUGUGGAAUCAGCAAAGCCUCCAACGAUCAUGCUAGAGUCAUCUGUAACAUCCACAGCUAAAGCUGGCUGUGGGAGUGAAAAUGGAAGAACAUUUAAGCAAGACAAAGUUGCUUAUUGCAGUUUAAAAUGUCACAUUUAACUAAACUUCCCACCAUAGCAUCAAUCUGUUGUUUACUACGAGGCAUUCCAUCAAAAAUAUCAAUGUAAAGAUGUUCUUGAACAAUGUUCCAGAUCUGAUUGUUCUGUUUUUCCUGAAGAUGUCUUUUCAGAAGCUGAGUUGCUGAGGAAUUGGACGACCUCAAAAUCCGAUAAAUAAUGGAUGUAUAUUCAAACAGAAAACAGUAGUUUUAGCAUUUCAUGAUGAACCGUCCUUUUACCAAGAAGGAAUAACAUUAUUCAAUGGUUCAGGCCAGACCAUUUCAGUAGUAAAAAUUUACCUCAGAAUAAAAUUUUGUUGACAUAUACAUAUCCACAAAGCAAAGCAUAUUUUAUGUAUUCACUGAUGUAAGAAAUCAAAACUCCCUGAAAGAAAUAAUUUAUAGAUAGUAAGUAACCAAGUAACUGGGAAUCUCUUUAUUAUGCAUCAAAAUUCCCUAAAAAAUCAUAUCCAUUUACUAACCCAUUUAUCAAUCACUUUCAAAAGAAUGUCUAUUAACCUUUCUCUGCUAAGAGUAAACUUUCAAUAAUUUCAAAAUGUUUCAAAUGUAUUUUCUUUUUACCCUUAAUGCAUCCCAAAGUUAAUGCUAUAGAUUCUUUCUAUUCCCAGUUUACCAUGCUUCAAAAUAAAUAUGUAUUUUUACUGUAACUACAAUUAUGAAGUUAUGUGUCUAUUAGUGAAACAUCCACAGAUAUUAAA